UAGCUUGUUAGUUUAUAUAAAAUUUUUAUUUGUGGGGUGAAGGAUUGUGGGCUAG
rnacentral:tRNA from 1 species